rnacentral:rRNA from 1 species
GACGAACGCUGGCGGCGUGCUUAACACAUGCCAGUCGAACGAUGAAGCGGGUGCUUGCACUCGUGGAUUAGUGGCGAACGGGCGAGUAACACGUGAGUAACCUGUCCUUUUCUUUGGGAUAACGGCUGGAAACGGCUGCUAAUACUGGAUAUUCAGGCUGCAUCGCAUGGUGUGGUUUGGAAAGGUUUUUUCUGGGAUUGGGUGGGCUCGCGGCCUAUCAGCUUGUUGGUGGGGUGAUGGCUUACCAAGGCUUUGACGGGUAGCCGGCCUGAGAGGGUGGUCGGUCGCACUGGGACUGAGAUACGGCCCAGACUCCUACGGGAGGCAGCAGUGGGGAAUAUUGCACAAUGGACGAAAGUUUGAUGCAGCGACGCCGCGUGGAGGGUGUAGGCCUUCGGGUUGUGAACUCCUUUGUCUCGCGAAAAAGGCACAGUUUUGGCUGUGUUGAUGGUAGUGGGGGAAGAAGCGCCGGCUAACUACGUG